rnacentral:lncRNA from 1 species
UCCGAUAAAAGUAGGCGGAUCCAUCUUAAGAAAAUCUUGCGUCCGAAGACUAGCCGCCCUAUCAGUACCGCUAGGACCCGCGGCAGGAAUAGCUUGCCCUUGGACUUGACCGGCAACAAUCCGGGUCAACAGUUGUACUGCAUCCCUCAUAUCCUGAUCAGCAGCAUUAACAAGUGGUUCUGUGAAUGUGGUUCGCCUCCCCCUUAUUCCAUAUGGAGUGGAAGACAUUUCAGAUACCCGCUCAACUUGAGCUUCGCUCUGAU